GUAGAAGAAACACAGGCAGUUCCUACUGAUCAGUGGUGUUUAAACGCCUCAUACAGACACCACAGAUGCCAUAAGAGACUUAACACAGUGCACGGUUGGAGCCGAAGCUGGGAGAUUCCCUCUAAACUCCUGCAGAGUAUCUGGCUUCAUACAGAAGGACACAUGGGAGAGGAUCUUAUCUAGAAAACGCCGUGUUGUCGAGCUUUUAAACAGUGCAAACAGACGACCCUUGGACCUGAACUCGUGUUCCUGUCAGCAAGCAGGUACUCAGCCACCAGAGCAGCAACAUGAACGUAACACAUGGCAGCCUGUAGGAGAGGAAAAGACGAGUCACAUCCCAAUAAAGCUUUCCUCAUUUCAUUUCUGUUUAAGCUUUAUUUAAGAUAAGAAACUAAUUCUUAUUUACAGCUUGGGGCAUUUUGAAGGAGAGGGUAAAAAAAGCUGUAAAAUAAAUUAUACAAAUUACAUUUAAAAGAAAAUAUAAAGAUCAGAAUAAUUAAAUGCCUGGAAAACUUCCGUA